rnacentral:lncRNA from 1 species
CUUCGUUGGGCGCCUGGAAAUCGGGAAUUUCGAGGGCUUAAAGUUUUUGAAGUGCUAUAUGUUCGUAUAGUCAUCAAUGAAUUGAACUUCAUCAAGACUUGUGAUGAUGAUGAGACUGCCAACCUCAUCUGGAAUGACUCAGCUGUGCAGCAUGAGAAAAUUGCUGAGCUCAGGAAUUAUCAGGUAUACCGCAUGGUUACCAUGACAAGUCAGUACACCUUUGUUAGUGGUUCAAGGACAGCUCUCUGGAUAAGGGUUCAAUUCCUCUGCUGACCAGGAAAAUAUGGCUCUUAAUCUUUGGAGCUCAAGAAUAUGGACCGGGACGCCAAUUCCAAGGAGACAAAUGUAACUUUAGGAGCAAGACGUUUGAAAAAGAUUAUAAUUUGAGUAGGAAAGGUGAGAUUUUACCUUCCUCAAGAAUUUAAUUAGAAGAAUAUGAAAGAUGCCUCUGAUUGAAAUGCACUGUCAGUAAAAACAAGAUUUAGAUAUUGUAAUAACAAUGCUGCUUAUAACUGAUUUUUCUAUUAAAACUAACAACAUUAUUAUGUCUGCUUGUCCCGUCGCAGAGAAUUAACCAUUUCCCUGGGAUGGGCGAAAUCUGCCGAAAAGACUGCCUUGCAAGAAACAUGGCCAAGUAAGUUUUUUGUUCCUCUCUUACAACACCGGCUAAAUUAGAAGACGAGUGCGUGAAAGCCUGCAUGCGCUACAAGGUACAACAGGGUGUCUGCAGCAUUGCACGCUUAGGAGACAAAUAAGUAGACACUGCAGUGAAAGCACAACUUGCACCUUUAAAAACUACAAGUGGCUGACUCUAGAUUGUUAUAAAAGUGUAAAAUGUUGCUUUUGAGAAUAAAACACAUUUAUCUUACUCCACUUCUCUCUUUUUUAUCUCUCCAGAAUGAUCAAGUGCCAGCCUCAAGACUAUAACUUUAUACCCAAAACCUGGAUCUUCCCUGCUGAGUACACUCAGUUCCAGAAAUAUGUCAAAGAGCUACGCAGGAAACGCAAGCAAAAGACCUUUAUAGUUUAGUUUUAC